GGUUUAAUUCGAUGAUACGCGAGGAACCUUACCCGGGCUUGAAUUGCAGAGGAAGGAUUUGGAGACAAUGACGCCCUUCGGGGCCUCUGUGAAGGUGCUGCAUGGUUGUCGUCAGCUCGUGCCGUGAGGUGUCGGCUUAAGUGCCAUAACGAUGCGCAACCCCUCUCCAUAGUUGCCAUCCAGGUCAAGCUGGGCACUCUGUGGACACUGCCACCGUAAGGUGCGA
rnacentral:rRNA from 1 species